rnacentral:lncRNA from 1 species
GCCGCAGCCGUUUCCUGUCGGUGCCCCGGUCGCCGCUGGCCUUCGUUCCCAGGCUCUGGCCUCCGGCUGGCGAGGGUUCUGGGGCCUGCGGGGCUGGGCGCCGUCCGGCGGGGCCUGCACCCAGCGGGCCCAGAGUCGGCUCCUCGAGCCCAGCGACCUCGAGAAGCGGAGAGGAGGGACCCCGGGAGAGGCACUCGCCGGAGGAGCCACCCCCGGCCUGGAGCUUCGGGAGCCCCGGGCGGGUCAGCGAGUCCCGACAGGUGGGCCUCCACUUUCACAGCCCUGCAUGUUUUUCCAAGAGCAGCAGAAAAUGAAUCAAUCUCUGG